rnacentral:rRNA from 1 species
GGAGGAAAAGAAACUAACAAGGAUUCCCCUAGUAACGGCGAGUGAAGAGGGAAGAGCCCAAGAUUGAAAGCUGGCGUCUUCGGCGUCCGCAUUGUAAUCUCAAGAAGUGUUUUCCGCUUCGGACCAUGCCUAAGUCCCUUGGAAAAGGGCAUCAUAGAGGGUGAUAAUCCCGUACAUGGCAUGGAGCGCCCGAAGCUUUGUGAUACGCUUUCUAAGAGUCGAGUUGUUUGGGAAUGCAGCUCAAAAUGGGUGGUAAAUGCCAUCUAAGGCUAAAUAUUGGGGAGAGACCGAUAGCGAACAAGUACAGUGAUGGAAAGAUGAAAAGAACUUUGAAAAGAGAGUUAAACAGUACGUGAAAUUGCCAAAAGGGAAGGGUAGGAGGUCAGAGAUGCGGCCUAGGAUUCAGCCUUGCUUUUGCUUGGUGUUUUUCCUAGAUUGCAGGCCAACGUCGGUUUUGGGCACUGGAGAAUGGUGGAAGGAAUGUGGCACCUCUCGGGGUGUGUUAUAGCCUUCUACUGGAUACAGCGACCGAGACCGAGGACAGCAGCGUACUCGCAAGAGCGGGCCUUCGGGCACCUUUACGCUUAGGGCGUUGGCAUAAUGGCCCUCUACCACCCGUCUGAAAACACGGA